CAGAGAUUUCCGAAUGGGGAAACCCAGCAUGAGUUAUGUCAUGUUAUCGAUAUGUGAAUACAUAGCAUAUCAGAAGGCACACCCGGAGAACUGAAACAUCUUAGUACCCGGAGGAAGAGAAAGAAAAUUCGAUUCCCUUAGUAGCGGCGAGCGAAACGGGAAGAGCCCAAACCAACAAGCUUGCUUGUUGGGGUUGUAGGACACUCUAUACGGAGUUACAAAGGACGACAUUAGACGAAUCAUCUGGAAAGAUGAAUCAAAGAAGGUAAUAAUCCUGUAGUCGAAAAUGUUGUCUCUCUUGAGUGGAUCCUGAGUACGACGGAGCACGUGAAAUUCCGUCGGAAUCUGGGAGGACCAUCUCCUAAGGCUAAAUACUCUCUAGUGACCGAUAGUGAACCAGUACCGUGAGGGAAAGGUGAAAAGCACCCCGGAAGGGGAGUGAAAUAGAACCUGAAACCGUGUGCUUACAAGUAGUCAGAGCCCGUUAAUGGGUGAUGGCGUGCCUUUUGUAGAAUGAACCGGCGAGUUACGAUUUGAUGCAAGGUUAAGCAGUAAAUGUGGAGCCGUAGCGAAAGCGAGUCUGAAUAGGGCGUUUAGUAUUUGGUCGUAGACCCGAAACCAGGUGAUCUACCCUUGGUCAGGUUGAAGUUCAGGUAACACUGAAUGGAGGACCGAACCGACUUACGUUGAAAAGUGAGCGGAUGAACUGAGGGUAGCGGAGAAAUUCCAAUCGAACCUGGAGAUAGCUGGUUCUCUCCGAAAUAGCUUUAGGGCUAGCCUCAAGUGAUGAUUAUUGGAGGUAGAGCACUGUUUGGACGAGGGGCCCCUCUCGGGUUACCGAAUUCAGACAAACUCCGAAUGCCAAUUAAUUUAACUUGGGAGUCAGAACAUGGGUGAUAAGGUCCGUGUUCGAAAGGGAAACAGCCCAGACCACCAGCUAAGGUCCCAAAAUAUAUGUUAAGUGGAAAAGGAUGUGGCGUUGCCCAGACAACUAGGAUGUUGGCUUAGAAGCAGCCAUCAUUUAAAGAGUGCGUAAUAGCUCACUAGUCGAGUGACACUGCGCCGAAAAUGUACCGGGGCUAAACAUAUUACCGAAGCUGUGGAUUGUCCUUUGGACAAUGGUAGGAGAGCGUUCUAAGGGCGUUGAAGCAUGAUCGUAAGGACAUGUGGAGCGCUUAGAAGUGAGAAUGCCGGUGUGAGUAGCGAAAGACGGGUGAGAAUCCCGUCCACCGAUUGACUAAGGUUUCCAGAGGAAGGCUCGUCCGCUCUGGGUUAGUCGGGUCCUAAGCUGAGGCCGACAGGCGUAGGCGAUGGAUAACAGGUUGAUAUUCCUGUACCACCUAUAAUCGUUUUAAUCGAUGGGGGGACGCAGUAGGAUAGGCGAAGCGUGCGAUUGGAUUGCACGUCUAAGCAGUAAGGCUGAGUAUUAGGCAAAUCCGGUACUCGUUAAGGCUGAGCUGUGAUGGGGAGAAGACAUUGUGUCUUCGAGUCGUUGAUUUCACACUGCCGAGAAAAGCCUCUAGAUAGAAAAUAGGUGCCCGUACCGCAAACCGACACAGGUAGUCAAGAUGAGAAUUCUAAGGUGAGCGAGCGAACUCUCGUUAAGGAACUCGGCAAAAUGACCCCGUAACUUCGGGAGAAGGGGUGCUCUUUAGGGUUAACGCCCAGAAGAGCCGCAGUGAAUAGGCCCAAGCGACUGUUUAUCAAAAACACAGGUCUCUGCUAAACCGUAAGGUGAUGUAUAGGGGCUGACGCCUGCCCGGUGCUGGAAGGUUAAGAGGAGUGGUUAGCUUCUGCGAAGCUACGAAUCGAAGCCCCAGUAAACGGCGGCCGUAACUAUAACGGUCCUAAGGUAGCGAAAUUCCUUGUCGGGUAAGUUCCGACCCGCACGAAAGGCGUAACGAUUUGGGCACUGUCUCAACGAGAGACUCGGUGAAAUCAUAGUACCUGUGAAGAUGCAGGUUACCCGCGACAGGACGGAAAGACCCCGUGGAGCUUUACUGUAGCCUGAUAUUGAAAUUCGGCACAGCUUGUACAGGAUAGGUAGGAGCCUUUGAAACGUGAGCGCUAGCUUACGUGGAGGCGCUGGUGGGAUACUACCCUAGCUGUGUUGGCUUUCUAACCCGCACCACUUAUCGUGGUGGGAGACAGUGUCAGGCGGGCAGUUUGACUGGGGCGGUCGCCUCCUAAAAGGUAACGGAGGCGCUCAAAGGUUCCCUCAGAAUGGUUGGAAAUCAUUCAUAGAGUGUAAAGGCAUAAGGGAGCUUGACUGCGAGACCUACAAGUCGAGCAGGGUCGAAAGACGGACUUAGUGAUCCGGUGGUUCCGCAUGGAAGGGCCAUCGCUCAACGGAUAAAAGCUACCCCGGGGAUAACAGGCUUAUCUCCCCCAAGAGUUCACAUCGACGGGGAGGUUUGGCACCUCGAUGUCGGCUCAUCGCAUCCUGGGGCUGUAGUCGGUCCCAAGGGUUGGGCUGUUCGCCCAUUAAAGCGGUACGCGAGCUGGGUUCAGAACGUCGUGAGACAGUUCGGUCCCUAUCCGUCGUGGGCGUAGGAAAUUUGAGAGGAGCUGUCCUUAGUACGAGAGGACCGGGAUGGACAUACCUCUGGUGUACCAGUUGUCGUGCCAACGGCAUAGCUGGGUAGCUAUGUGUGGACGGGAUAAGUGCUGAAAGCAUCUAAGCAUGAAGCCCCCCUCAAGAUGAGAUUUCCCAACUUCGGUUAUAAGAUCCCUCAAAGAUGAUGAGGUUAAUAGGUUCGAGGUGGAAGCAUGGUGACAUGUGGAGCUGACGAAUACUAAUCGAUCGAAGACUUAAUCAA
rnacentral:rRNA from 1 species